GAUGAAGAACGUAGCGAAAUGCGAUAAGUAAUGCGAAUUGCAGAAUUCAGUGAAUCAUCGAAUCUUUGAACGCACAUUGCGCCCGGGAGCAUUCUCCCGGGCAUGCCUGUUCGAGCGUCAUUUCAACCCUCGAUUUCCCUUUGGGGAAGUCGGCCGUUGGAGAUCGGCAGCACUGCCGGCUCCCAAAUACAGUGGCGACCCGCCGCGGGGACCCCUGCGUAGUAACUUACACUCGCACCGGAAACCAGACGUGUCACGCCGUAAAACCCCCAACUUUCUGAACGUUGACCUCGGAUCAGGUAGGAAUACCCGCUGAACUUAAGCAUAUCAAUAAGCGGAGGA
rnacentral:misc_RNA from 1 species